CUAUGUCGGCGACCGGCGCACGGGUGCGUAACGCGUAUGCAACCUACCCAUUACAGGGGGAUAACACUGAGAAAUCGGUACUAAUACCCCAUAACAUCCAGGGAAGCAUCUUCUUGGGUUGAAAACUCCGGUGGUAAUGGAUGGGCAUGCGUUGUAUUAGUUAGUUGGUGGGGUAACGGCUCACCAAGACAACGAUACAUAGGGGGACUGAGAGGUUAACCCCCCACAUUGGUACUGAGACACGGACCAAACUCCUACGGGAGGCAGCAG
rnacentral:rRNA from 1 species